rnacentral:rRNA from 1 species
UACAGAGGGUGCUAGCGUUAAUCGGAAUUACUGGGCGUAAAGCGCACGUAGGCGGCUUUGUAAGUUAGAGGUGAAAGCCCGGGGCUCAACUCCGGAACUGCCUUUAAGACUGCAUCGCUUGAAUCCGGGAGAGGUGAGUGGAAUUCCGAGUGUAGAGGUGAAAUUCGUAGAUAUUCGGAAGAACACCAGUGGCGAAGGCGGCUCACUGGACCGGUAUUGACGCUGAGGUGCGAAAGCGUGGGGAGCAAACAGG